rnacentral:lncRNA from 1 species
UCAGAUAAUUAAAAAUCACUGCUUCCUAUUUGAAAGCCUGACAAAUUUAAAAUAUUAGAAAACAUUUAUUUCCACACACCAGAAAAAAAUGGAAAUGCUUGAUUUAAUGUAUUAACUGAAAGAUUCUAAGGGCAGCAAUUUCAGCCAGAUAGAAAAGGUACAUCUCUCUUUAUCUAUGUUCACCAACAACAAUAAUCGUUCAGGCUGGUAAGCUUUGAUUUUUCCUUUACAUUAUAAUGAUCUUCAAAGCCAAACUAGGUUUUAUGUUAAGCUUUCAAGAAGUGGUUAUUUUAUUUACUUUGGCCAUGCCUAUGACACACAGAAGUCCCCAGGCCAGGGAUUUAACCCACACCACAGCAGUGACAACACUGGAUCCUUAACCCACUGAGCCACCAGGGAACUCCACAAUGUGGUUAUUUCAAAGACAAAAUUUCUUUUCUUUUUUUUUUUUUUUUUUUGGUUUUUUUUUUUUUUUUUUUUUUUUUUUUUGGUCUUUUUGUCUUUGUUGUUGUUGCUAUUUCUUGGGCUGCUCCCGCGGCAUAUGGAGGUGUGGCCCCAGAAAAGGCAAAAAACAAAACAAAACUACUUACUGCACUCAGUGGCUAAUCUAUGAUCAUAAGGUCACUCCUUGACACACAUUAUUUUAUGCCUCACUAAUGAAAUGAUAUGAGGUAGUGUAAAAGAAGCAUCUGAAGCCUUAGCUUUCAUUCAAAGCAGGCCAUUCCUUAGCAUUAAGAACAGAAACAGUUGCACUUGAUUUUCGUCUAUUUAGAGAUGGAAAUGAAUCUUUUUGGUAACUGACUUUAGGGUCUCAAAUUCAGGGAAAUGUAGGUAAAUCUUUUGCAUUUUACCUUGACGUUGAUUAUGAGUUUUUCUAGAGAUAUAAUAUUAAUCUCAGCUAACCUAUUAGUUAUUCCCUUAGAAUUUAUAAUUUUCUCAAGUUCAAUUAUCAGGGUAAAAAUGUUUCUUAUUCUAAGAGGUGUGCAUGUGUAUACAUAAAAGGAGGAGGUUUUUCCCAUCUUAAAGUUUAACAGCUAGAGGGUGUGGGGAAAAGGGAAUCCUCCUGCACUGUUGGUGGGAAUGUAAAUUGGUACAACCACUAUGAAAAACAAUAUGGAGGUACCUUAGAAAUCUAUACAUAGAACUACUAUAUGACCCAUCAAUCACACUCUUGGGCAUAUAUCCGGACAAAACUUUCCUUGAAAAAGACACAUGCACCCGCAUCUUCAUUGCAGCACUAUUCACAGUAGCCAAGGCAUGGAAACAACCUAAACAUCCACCAACAGAUGACUGGAUUAAGAAGAUGUGGUACAUAUACACAAUGGAAUACUACUCAGCCAUCAAGAAGAACAAAAUAAUGACAUUUGCAGCAACAUGGAUGGAACUACAUACUCUCAUACUGACUGAAGUAAGACAGAAAGAGAAAGACAAAUACCCUAUGAUAUCACAUAUCUGGAAUCUAAUAUAAGGCACAAAUGAACCUUUCCGCAGAAAAGAAAAUC